CGUCUGGCCUCCUCCUCGCGCAGCCCCUCGGAGGCAAUAGAGCCACCGAAGAAGAGCAGUCGCCGCCUCCCCUUGCCACUCCGGCAGUAGCAGGAGCAGGAGCUCCCGCAGCCGCGCACGCACUCGUGGAACUGCUCGUCCCUGUGCCAUCUCUCAUUCGCCUUGCGGGGCACACCCGGGGACCUCCUCGCCGGACCAACAAGACUGUUCCCUUCAUCUCCAUCCUCCCCCGAUCCCCUUUGUUUCCGUCCUUAACACCAAGCUCUCUCUCUCUAUCUCUGCAUGGAUAGGAGGAUGCCUAGCUUUCUUCGGUCGCCGUUCGAGACACCAUCAUCGUCGAUCUACGUGUACCUCCAGGACCCGCCCCAACACUGCUGCAUCCUCUUCUUCCACCCAGGAAGCACCUCGAAGAUUGCCCCGUCGCGCUGGAGCUUGCUUGCCGCCGUGCCACAAGGCUGUCUCGCCUCGGAUCCAUCGAGAUCGGCAUCCUCUCCACCGAAUCGGGCUUCCCUCGCCCGUUCUCUGCCUCCUCUCGAUCCCGCGUCGACCAAGACCCCGGCCCUGACCUCCCCCACCGUUCCCAACAUUGCCAUGGCAGCGGUCUCUAUAUUCCCGAUAUGAGCACCUCCCUUCAUUGUUUCCUCUCGAUAGAGUCCCAAACCGCUUCAGAGUGUAAGCAUUUGUUCGACUACGUCGGUUCGUCUACUUCACAGAUUCGUUCUUCUUCCACGCGCGAUCAUAGGCAAGAUGAUCAU